rnacentral:rRNA from 1 species
UGGUGGGCAGUUUGACUGGGGCGGUCUCCUCCUAAAGAGUAACGGAGGAGUACGAAGGUGCGCUCAGACCGGUCGGAAAUCGGUCGCAGAGUAUAAAGGCAAAAGCGCGCUUGACUGCGAGACAGACACGUCGAGCAGGUACGAAAGUAGGUCUUAGUGAUCCGGUGGUUCUGUAUGGAAGGGCCAUCGCUCAACGGAUAAAAGGUACUCCGGGGAUAACAGGCUGAUACCGCCCAAGAGUUCAUAUCGACGGCGGUGUUUGGCACCUCGAUGUCGGCUCAUCACAUCCUGGGGCUGAAGCCGGUCCCAAGGGUAUGGCUGUUCGCCAUUUAAAGUGGUACGCGAGCUGGGUUUAGAACGUCGUGAGACAGUUCGGUCCCUAUCUGCCGUGGACGUUUGAGAUUUGAGAGGGGCUGCUCCUAGUACGAGAGGACCGGAGUGGACGAACCUCUGGUGUUCCGGUUGUCACGCCAGUGGCAUUGCCGGGUAGCUAUGUUCGGAAAAGAUAACCGCUGAAAGCAUCUAAGCGGGAAACUUGCCUCAAGAUGAGAUCUCACUGGGAACUUGAUUCCCCUGAAGGGCCGUCGAAG